UUCGAAGGAGAUCCCUAAAAGACAUCGGAGCAAUAAUUUGUCAACCACAGCAAAACUAACCUAAAAUUAGAUGGUCGAAACAGCUGUCUCUAUUCAGGUCUAUCCUAGUAUGUGUCGCUUACAUAGGCAACAACAAAUCACGAGCAACAGCUUGAGUUAAUAACAACUUGUUUCUGGGAAAGAACGAUGCGGGUAUGUAUUGUUGUGGACAAUGACCGGCUGACGAAAGGCUUACCGUAAAAGGUAAGGCCUAAGGAGCUGAUAAUGAGCAAUGAUUCUGAAAGGAUGUUUAGUGCCAAGCGUAGCGAGAAUCUGGGUGGUCCAAAAGAGCGUGGGAUCACCUUUAUCGAGCCUGUACCACAGUUUCAGCAACAAUCAGGCCAACAACAAUCGAUUUUCCCGUCAUCUGCCGCGGAACGGGGAGCUUUCGAUGUCGGAGUCACAAGUCCUUUGCCCCCAUGGGCUGGGCAAAAACUACCAACUACUGGAGUAUUGUAUCCACCGGGACAGACAUCAAGUACAUGUUUGGAUAGGCCACCGUUAGGACCGACGUUUAGUCCGACGCCGAACCAGGGCAACCAAACAGUGUUCUCUGCUGGAGUUGCAACAUUUCUACCCUUAUCGGAGCGCCCACUUGGGUCUAACGGGCCGUUCGGAGCUAUGCCAGAUCUGAUUCGACCAUUUUUGGCGCCCUAUUCCCUCGCUCGAAAUGUGUAUGAUAUACGACCGCCGAACCCGGGAAAGCUUACUAUUGAACUCAACACGUACCUUACUAACAAUGAAAUCAAGACCGUCACGGACAUCUGUUCGGACAACUACAGUUCACAGGACAGAAAUGCUGAUGUGGCUGACCAGCUGCGUGAAAUUGUCCAGAAGCGAAAUAAACAAAUCAAAUGGAUUACUGCUUGCGGAAAUAUGUCCACAGCACAAUUUUGUGCAGGAAGAGAUUCGGCCUUAUUCGCAAAAUACGGGGACCUAAACAUCGCGAUCCUAAAGGGAUACUAUGUUGGCGGACGAAUAGCUCCGCCCAGUGAGGACACUCCGGGUGCUCAGUUGAAAGAUGUGAAGAAGUUGAUCCAAUUCCGCGAAGUGACUGGAAGGGAGUCCGAGGACCCAACGGCCCAGGUCGUUCGGUACGUUGUCCAAAAGCACGAUAUGAACACUGCUCCAAAGAUAUGCUCUGACCUCAGAGAGAUGCUACACAAACGCGACUCAAGUAGCGCGUGGCUGGUUAUCUGUGGUAAACAAUACAGUAUCGGCAUCGAAAUGGGUUUGGAGAAUCCGGCAGUCGCUUACUUUGGUGAAAUGAAUCAAACGAGAGUGACAAUUAUCAAAAUGGCAAGAAAUAUGGUCUAUUAAGGGAAACAGUGUUGCCACUAUGGUCGAUGCUAAUUGAUUCGGGCAACGAACGACGUUGGGUAUUAUUCGACCAGCCCAUGCCGCGUUUAGGAAACUUCAUAGAGGAUGAUACCUGGAUUGAUCCUCUUACUUCAAGAGUGCCAAUCGAUUAUAUGACAAAGACGUUUCGUAACUAAUACUUACUGGAAGUGGAACACAUCUCCAUAAGCAUUUCCGCUACACACGUUCCGGCCCGGUAUUUUGGUAGAGAAUGGCCAUAAAUGAUGGUUCAAGUUCUCUGGCACGACCCGAUCAUCUUCCAUUUAAAAAACAAGCUGCUUUUCACAAGAUUCGACGACAUGGUAAAGCCGAAGUUCAACGUUUUCGCCUGUUCUCUGCGGCACGCAACAAUUAUUGACGUGUUGUGGUGUCAACGUUAGCGUUCAUAGUGCUAAAUCGAGUAAUUCGUCCAUCAUGACAUGCUGCAAUUAUACCAGCUCAUUUCUGCUCUCAUACUUCCCACAGCUGCUCCUGUUGUUGUUGUUAUUGCAGAAGCUGAUCAAGUCAAUGGCUUCUGCUGGCAAGUUUCAGCUGUUCACAAGCAACCGACUUCGGCUCCCUUGCCUGCUUGCCCCUGUGCCGUUGGUCCCAGUGAUGUCUGUUCAAAAGAUCUUUUAUCUGAUCAGCCCCAACUGGCUCGAGCUGUCCCUUCUACUUCGUUUGGCGUCUGCUACAGCAGAAGACGGACGGGAUCCCGUCAUCGUUGUCGGUGGUGCACUUUACCGCUACAGAUGGAGUGCUUAUACCAAAGCUGUGACAGCCGUUGCUUGUGUCACCGGGACUGCCAUUUGUAGGAUGUAAUUUUGUGAUCGUCCAGGCGACGGUUCAUGACUGAACGUCUGCGUGUGUAUUGUAUCCACUUGUCGUCGUGGCUGUUGUUUGUUUAAGUAUUAAGGUGCUGUUUCUGGCGCGGAUUUUGUAGGCUGGUAGACUUCAGUGUCCUCUAUAUGGCCGCCUAGUGCAUCCGUAGGGUCGAAAAGAGGAGGUACCUCUUCAAGGGGCCGAACAAUGAACAGGCGCCAAUCAGGUCAAGGGUAGGCCGGGUCAAUGAUGAACUAAUGCCACGUUUAUCAGUCGAUUUCGACGACAGACGAUGGCUGCUACUAUGCGGUCGCCUUAGUGACCUAACUGUCACAAGCUACGGUCAAGACAUGUUGAGGACCGCUGAGAGGGAUGUACAAUUGAAUCAGCGAUGCCCGACGGAAUAGAAUCUUGCCCCAGUUCACAUGAUCGGCGUAUUUUACGCUCCAGAUCUACAGUGAGGCAGCGUUUCAUCGUCGCGUGGUCUCCUACCUGGAGUUUUCUUCAUGUUUUCGUGCCUUUAGCUACACUAUCACUUCUAUUUCACGAAGGUGCGACUGGCGGACGCUAAAAACAAUUGCAGCAGCGUAUACACACACGUUGCUUGAUACAAUUGAAGACGUCCCAUUCGCUCGGGUCCAGUUGGUGGAAACAACUGGCCGCCUGAAUGAAUGAACAAACGAUGUGUAGAGUGCUUUUUGUUGGCGUUCUCUGUCAUCAGUCUAUCUGCAUGCGUGUCGAUCUGCCACCCAACCGUCGACUUGUAUCUAGCAUCGCCGAAUUAAGUGGGCAGUGUCACUUAUACGGACGCUUUCACGGUUUCAACGACGGCCCGAGAAGCUUCGCCAACAAUAACAACAAUUGAUACCGACAAGAACAGCUCAGGUUCAAAACGGCGUUCAGUUACAUACCUGACUGGUACUGUCAGCGGCUAACCAAGUAUUGCCUGCGGCGCAACCCGAUAACUGAUAGAUUGCGUGACGCUGCACCGGGUGCAUUGGCGCGCUGGUACUAUAACGACGCUGGCAAUACCUUGUAACAGCUGGGUAUUUUGUAAAAUCAGCUUGAGUGCUGGCGUAGUUGCUGUUUAAAUCAUUGUGCCCCACAUAGCGGUAAUGACUGUAUGUCGCCUGAAGGAACUGAACUUCCGAGGUGACAUCUUACUUCAGCUUGAAGCUCACGAAGACAACAAGCAAUUAUGCGUAAUCAGUUGAAUUGUAGCUUUGAGAAUUGUGAAAACGGACGCUGAUCGCAAUCGUUUGUCUUGGUUCCACCUUUGGAGCGUUGGGAGAGCUCAAAGUGAAAAAGA